rnacentral:rRNA from 1 species
UGGCUCAGGACGAACGCUGGCGGCGUGCUUAACACAUGCAAGUCGAACGGAAAGGCCCUUCGGGGUACUCGAGUGGCGAACGGGUGAGUAACACGUGGGUGAUCUGCCCUGCACUUUGGGAUAAGCCUGGGAAACUGGGUCUAAUACCGAAUAGGACCGCAUGCUUCAUGGUGUGUGGUGGAAAGCUUUUGCGGUGUGGGAUGGGCCCGCGGCCUAUCAGCUUGUUGGUGAGGUAAUGGCUUACCAAGGCGACGACGGGUAGCCGGCCUGAGAGGGUGACCGGCCACACUGGGACUGAGAUACGGCCCAGACUCCUACGGGAGGCAGCAGUGGGGAAUAUUGCACAAUGGGCGCAAGCCUGAUGCAGCGACGCCGCGUGAGGGAUGACGGCCUUCGGGUUGUAAACCUCUUUCGCCAGGGACGAAGCGCAAGUGACGGUACCUGGAGAAGAAGGACCGGCCAACUACGUGCCAGCAGCCGCGGUAAUACGUAGGGUCCGAGCGUUGUCCGGAAUUACUGGGCGUAAAGAGCUCGUAGGUGGUUUGUCGCGUUGUUCGUGAAAACUCACAGCUUAACUGUGGGCGUGCGGGCGAUACGGGCAGACUUGAGUACUGCAGGGGAGACUGGAAUUCCUGGUGUAGCGGUGGAAUGCGCAGAUAUCAGGAGGAACACCGGUGGCGAAGGCGGGUCUCUGGGCAGUAACUGACGCUGAGGAGCGAAAGCGUGGGGAGCGAACAGGAUUAGAUACCCUGGUAGUCCACGCCGUAAACGGUGGGUACUAGGUGUGGGUUUCCUUCCUUGGGAUCCGUGCCGUAGCUAACGCAUUAAGUACCCCGCCUGGGGAGUACGGCCGCAAGGCUAAAACUCAAAGAAAUUGACGGGGGCCCGCACAAGCGGCGGAGCAUGUGGAUUAAUUCGAUGCAACGCGAAGAACCUUACCUGGGUUUGACAUGCACAGGACGCCGGCAGAGAUGUCGGUUCCCUUGUGGCCUGUGUGCAGGUGGUGCAUGGCUGUCGUCAGCUCGUGUCGUGAGAUGUUGGGUUAAGUCCCGCAACGAGCGCAACCCUUGUCUCAUGUUGCCAGCACGUUAUGGUGGGGACUCGUGAGAGACUGCCGGGGUCAACUCGGAGGAAGGUGGGGAUGACGUCAAGUCAUCAUGCCCCUUAUGUCCAGGGCUUCACACAUGCUACAAUGGCCGGUACAAAGGGCUGCGAUGCCGUGAGGUGGAGCGAAUCCUUUCAAAGCCGGUCUCAGUUCGGAUCGGGGUCUGCAACUCGACCCCGUGAAGUCGGAGUCGCUAGUAAUCGCAGAUCAGCAACGCUGCGGUGAAUACGUUCCCGGGCCUUGUACACACCGCCCGUCACGUCAUGAAAGUCGGUAACACCCGAAGCCGGUGGCCUAACCC